CCCCUAGAUGUUCUGGGCCGCACGCGCGCUACACUGAACAGUUCAACAAGUCUUAACCUUGGCCGAUAGGUCUGGGUAAUCUUUGAACGCUGUUCGUGAUUGGGAUAGACCUUUGCAAUUAUGGGUCUUCAACGAGGAAUUCCUAGUAAACGCAAGUCAUCAGCUUGCAUUGAUUACGUCCCUGCCCUUUGUACACACCGCCCGUCGCACCUACCGAUUGAAUGGUCCGGUGAAAUCUCGGGACGGCGGCUUGGUCGCUUGCGUCCGACUGCUGAAACUUGAUUAAACCAUAUCAUUUAGUGGAAGGUGAAGUCGUAACA
rnacentral:rRNA from 1 species